GACGAACGCUGGCGGCGUGCCUAAUACAUGCAAGUAGAACGCUGAAGGAGGAGCUUGCUUCUCUGGAUGAGUUGCGAACGGGUGAGUAACGCGUAGGUAACCUGCCUGGUAGCGGGGGAUAACUCUUGGAAAAGAUAGCUAAUACCGCAUAAGAGUAGAUGUUGCAUGACAUUUGCUUAAAAGGUGCAAUUGCAUCACUACUAGAUGGACCUGCGUUGUCUUAGCUAGUUGGUGGGGUAACGGCGCACCAAGGCGCCGAAACAUAGUCGACCUGAGAGGGGGAUCGCCCACACUGGAACUGGACCAGGGUCCAACCUCUUCCGGGAGGAGGCGGAAGGGAAUUUUGCGAAAGGGGCGAAAGCUUGACGGGGCACGGCGGCGUGGGUGAUGAAGGUCUUCGGUCGGUAAGACUCGGUUUUAGGGAAGAAACAGAUGUGUAGUUAAAAGUGCACACCGUGACGGUACCUAAUCAGAAAGCCACGGCUAACUACGUG
rnacentral:rRNA from 1 species